rnacentral:rRNA from 1 species
UAGGGAAUCUUCGGCAAUGGACGGAAGUCUGACCGAGCAACGCCGCGUGAGUGAAGAAGGUUUUCGGAUCGUAAAGCUCUGUUGUUAGAGAAGAACGUUGGUAGGAGUGGAAAAUCUACCAAGUGACGGUAACUAACCAGAAAGGGACGGCUAACUACGUGCCAGCAGCCGCGGUAAUACGUAGGUCCCGAGCGUUGUCCGGAUUUAUUGGGCGUAAAGCGAGCGCAGGCGGUUCUUUAAGUCUGAAGUUAAAGGCAGUGGCUUAACCAUUGUACGCUUUGGAAACUGGAGGACUUGAGUGCAGAAGAGGAGAGUGGAAUUCCAUGUGUAGCGGUGAAAUGCGUAGAUAUAUGGAGGAACACCGGUGGCGAAAGCAGCUCUCUGGUCUGUAACUAACGCUGAGGCUCGAAAGCGUGGGGAGCGAACAGG